rnacentral:tRNA from 1 species
UGAGGUGUGGCUCAGUGGUAGAGUGCUUGCCUAGCAUGUGGGAAGCCCUGGGUUCAAUCCUCAGUAACUAAA